ACCAGGUGUGGUGGCACACGCCUGUAAUCCCAGCAGCUUGGGAGGUUGAGGCAGGAGGAUCGAGAAUUCAAAGCCAGCCUCUG
rnacentral:sRNA from 1 species